AUUAGGCCUAAAGACUUACUUAAUGACGGAAAGAUGUAAACAAACUGACGGCGAGAGCAUAUGGGUAAAUUAAUAUUAUGAGCCUUAAGCUUAAGCUAUGACCUUUCGCUUUCAAAACACAAUGAACGAGAAAAUGAUAAUGAUGGUGAGUUUAGUAGUGGGUUUGUAGGGUGUCAUCUGUGUCACAGCCACUGCUGCUGUGAGCAGUUGUAGUGACAGAUAGGCAGGACUCUGAGAGAUUCUCUACUUAUCUAACAGGCUCAUUCACAGAGGUCAGAGGGAGAAGCUGCCUUAUAACAGAACAGGCGACUGCGCACACCCACACUGUGUUACUGGUAACAGGGCUGCAUAUCAACAGCUUCUGUUGGCACACCGUUGGCACUUAAGGACGCAGUGGGCGUAGGAGUUGAUUUAGGUCUGCAAGAAGAGACAAAGAAAAAAGAAAAAGCCAGGAAUGAGGGCACUCAUCUCCUCCAUGAGCCCUCCUCCUCCAGGCAGAGGGCCAUUGCCUCUGGCUUCAGAUUUGGCCCCCGCGGCUGCUGCAGCCCCCGUCAUGGCUGCUGCCAGAGCUGCCCCUGCAUCGUCAACCUGAAGACACAAUACAAUACAAAUGAAAGUGAAAUACAAGUUAAUGCAACACAAUCUGCACAAUCAGGGUUAAGUAUUAACCCUACUGUGAGAAUAAAAUGAGAAGUGGAAAUGUACUACUGGUCUUUAUAUUAGACAAGCCAUACAUAGUUGUAGUUGAUUUCUGUAUAUUGUCAUGUUAAACACACGAGCAGA